AUUGAACGCUGGCGGCAUGCCUAACACAUGCAAGUCGAACGGUAACGCGGGGGCAACCCUGGCGACGAGUGGCGGACGGGUGAGUAAUACAUCGGAACGUGCCCAGUAGUGGGGAUAGCCCGGCGAAAGCCGGAUUAAUACCGCAUACGACCUACGGGUGAAAGCGGGGGAUCGCAAGACCUCGCGCUAUUGGAGCGGCCGAUGUCAGAUUAGCUAGUUGGUGGGGUAAAAGCCUACCAAGGCGACGAUCUGUAGCUGGUCUGAGAGGACGACCAGCCACACUGGGACUGAGACACGGCCCAGACUCCUACGGAGGCAGCAGUGGGAAUUUUGGACAAUGGGGGCAACCCUGAUCCAGCCAUGCCGCGUGCGGG
rnacentral:rRNA from 1 species